GUUAUUUUAAGCUGUAUUUGUAUGAGUGAAUGUUUAUAUCGGAGUUCAGGUGGACUUAUUUAAACUGCAUGUAUGUAGAUAAAAACACUGUCAGAUUAAAAUGUAAAUCAAACUGAUUCAGUACAAGUAUGUACUUAAACGUGCUAUACAAUAUUUCGGUCAUGAUAUCUUAAAUCAUCAUACCGGUCAUUGAACUACAUGUUUUGUGUUCAUACGUAAGGAUUGCGGGAAACUUAACAAGUGCGUUCAAGAAUUUAAAAUUUUUAAGAAUUAUUGUUUUGUUAUAUAGAAUGCAACCGCGAAACUGAUGACUGAAUUUUAAAACGUCAGAGACAGUAACACCCAUAGUAAAAUGCUAUGCUGCACGAAUCCUCUCCUGUGCUGUAUUCAUGAGGAAUAUUAUGAGUGUCACAAUGUGUAAUUAUAGUACGAUAAUCAAAAUAUGGCCAAAGUUCACAACUCCCUUAAAAAAGGUCAUAUCUAAAACGAUAGAAUAUUAUUAAUAUGGUCAACUGUAUAUGAUUGGGGAAAUCAUACCAAGUAUAAAAAAGUUGCGUUCUUAAGAUGUGUGAUACGACUGUCAUACAAGUGAGAGGUUUAGCUAGCUAUAAAACCAGGUUCAAUCCACCAUUUUCUACAUUUGAAAAUGCCUGUACCAGGUCAGGAAUAUGACAGUUCUUGUCCAUUCGUUUUUUAUGCGUUUUGUAAUUUGAUUUUGCUAUGUGAUUAUGGACUUUCCGAAUUGAUUUUCCUCUGAGUUCAGUAUUUUUGUGAUUUUACAUUUUAUAAUACCCAAAUAAAAAGUCAAAAUCCCAUGAUUCCCCUAAUAAUGAGCAAAUCAAAAUGGCGGUAUAAUUUGUUCAACCACACGCAAAAAAAAAGUGUUUUGUCACAAUACUAAAAAAAAACCUCAUUAAAGUCCCAUAACUCUUAUUCAAAUGGUCUGAUCAACUGACGGCAACCAAUCGUAAUAAGUAUGAGACUUUGCUGUAAAAACGGAGGAUUUGUGGUCGAUGAUAAGGUGUCAUGUUACAAUACUGUGGUCAAAAUGUCAUAAUAUCAAAUCACUGUCCGGGUCGCUCACCUGCAUCUUCAACAAUAGUCAUUUGUUUUGUUAAAAAUCAUCACGAAAAGGC
rnacentral:lncRNA from 1 species